UACAGAGGUCCCAAGCGUUGUUCGGAUUCACUGGGCGUAAAGGGUGCGUAGGUGGCGAGGUAAGUCGGAUGUGAAAGCUCGGAGCUCAACUCCGAAAUGGCAUUGGAAACUACCUUGCUCGAGGGUUGGAGGGGGGACUGGAAUGCUUGGUGUAGCAGUGAAAUGCGUAGAUAUCAAGCGGAACACCAGUGGCGAAGGCGAGGCCCUGGACAACUCCUGACACUGAGGCACGAAAGCUAGGGGAGCAAACAGG
rnacentral:rRNA from 1 species